GACAGAGGGUGCGAGCGUUGUCCGGAAUUACUGGGCGUAAAGGGCGCGUAGGCGGUUCGGUAAGUAGGAGGUGACAUUUCGGGGCUCAACCCUGAAACUGCCUUCUAAACUGCCGAACUGGAGCACGGUAGAGGCAGAUGGAAUUCCCGGUGUAGCGGUGGAAUGCGUAGAGAUCGGCAGGAACACCAGUGGCGAAGGCGGCUGCCUGGGGAGUAACUGACGCUGAGGCGCGAAAGCUAGGGGAGCAAACAGG
rnacentral:rRNA from 1 species